rnacentral:misc_RNA from 1 species
GUGGAGUCCAACCGCCAAGCCCUUCGUGAGCUUCUCUUUACUUCUCCCAAUGCUCUCUCUUAUCUCUCAGGUGUAAUCCUCUUCGAAGAGACCCUUUACCAAAAGACAUCAGACGGGAAGCCGUUUGUGGAAGUGCUUCAAGAGAACAAUGUCAUUCCAGGCAUCAAAGUGGACAAGGGAACUGUGGAGUUGGCUGGCACCAACGGCGAGACCACAACCCAAGGCUUCGACUCCCUUGGGGCUCGGUGCCAACAAUUCUACAAGGCCGGUGCUCGCUUUGCCAAGUGGCGUGCUGUUCUCAAGAUUGGCGCGUCUGAGCCCUCUGAGUUGUCUAUCCAACAGAACGCUCAGGGCUUGGCUCGCUAUGCCAUUAUCUGUCAGGAGAAUGGG